rnacentral:rRNA from 1 species
CAGGCUUAACACAUGCAAGUCGAGGGGCAGCACAGGUAGCAAUACCGGGUGGCGACCGGCGCACGGGUGAGCAACGCGUAUGCAACUUGCCUAUCAGAGGGGGAUAACCCGGCGAAAGUCGGACUAAUACCGCAUGAGGCAGGGAUCCCGCAUGGGAAUAUUUGCUAAAGAUUCAUCGCUGAUAGAUAGGCAUGCGUUCCAUUAGGCAGUUGGCGGGGUAACGGCCCACCAAACCGACGAUGGAUAGGGGUUCUGAGAGGAAGGUCCCCCACAUUGGUACUGAGACACGGACCAAACUCCUACGGGAGGCAGCAGUGAGGAAUAUUGGUCAAUGGCCGAGAGGCUGAACCAGCCAAGUCGCGUGAGGGAUGAAGGUUCUAUGGAUCGUAAACCUCUUUUAUAAGGGAAUAAAGUGCGGGACGUGUCCCGUUUUGUAUGUACCUUAUGAAUAAGGAUCGGCUAACUCCGUGCCAGCAGCCGCGGUAAUACGGAGGAUCCGAGCGUUAUCCGGAUUUAUUGGGUUUAAAGGGUGCGUAGGCGGCCUUUUAAGUCAGCGGUGAAAGUCUGUGGCUCAACCAUAGAAUUGCCGUUGAAACUGGGGGGCUUGAGUAUGUUUGAGGCAGGCGGAAUGCGUGGUGUAGCGGUGAAAUGCAUAGAUAUCACGCAGAACCCCGAUUGCGAAGGCAGCCUGCCAAGCCAUUACUGACGCUGAUGCACGAAAGCGUGGGGAUCAAACAGGAUUAGAUACCCUGGUAGUCCACGCAGUAAACGAUGAUCACUAGCUGUUUGCGAUACACUGUAAGCGGCACAGCGAAAGCGUUAAGUGAUCCACCUGGGGAGUACGCCGGCAACGGUGAAACUCAAAGGAAUUGACGGGGGCCCGCACAAGCGGAGGAACAUGUGGUUUAAUUCGAUGAUACGCGAGGAACCUUACCCGGGUUUGAACGCAUUCGGACCGAGGUGGAAACACCUUUUCUAGCAAUAGCCGUUUGCGAGGUGCUGCAUGGUUGUCGUCAGCUCGUGCCGUGAGGUGUCGGCUUAAGUGCCAUAACGAGCGCAACCCUUGCCACUAGUUACUAGCAGGUAAAGCUGAGGACUCUGGUGGGACUGCCAGCGUAAGCUGCGAGGAAGGCGGGGAUGACGUCAAAUCAGCACGGCCCUUACAUCCGGGGCGACACACGUGUUACAAUGGCGUGGACAAAGGGAGGCCACCUGGCGACAGGGAGCGAAUCCCCAAACCACGUCUCAGUUCGGAUCGGAGUCUGCAACCCGACUCCGUGAAGCUGGAUUCGCUAGUAAUCGCGCAUCAGCCAUGGCGCGGUGAAUACGUUCCCGGGCCUUGUACACACCGCCCGUCAAGCCAUGGGAGCCGGGGGUACCUGAAGUCCGUAACCGCGAGGAUCGGCCUAGGGUAAAACUGGUGACUGGGGC